UAUAAGGAACAAUACAGAUGCACCCUAUGU
rnacentral:piRNA from 1 species